UAUUUCUGGUUGCGACAACCAAUCAUAUCGCCGUCUGCAACCAAGAAGUAACCAAGAAUUGCACUCGCCAACCAAUCCGAGACGCCAGAGCAACCAAGAAUUGACCAAUGAGGAUAGAGCUAUUGCGGGACCUUUAAACUCUAGUCAAGAGGACCAUGGAAAUGUGUAUUUCCUUUCAGGUAAUUUUGUUCGCGAGUUUAAUUUAUUUUCUGAAGUAACAUGAGCUAUAGCGGGACCUAUAAAUGCUAGAAGAGGACAAUGGAAAAAUAUAUUUCCUCAGGUAAUUUGUUCGCGAAUUAUCUUUAUUUUCUGAAGUAACGUUAGCUACACUUUUUUGUUGUCUGGUGUUUUCAUUGAUCAUCAUCAUCGAUCGGAAUAUCUAGCAGUGAGAUUUACAUAUAACUUCCCAAGGGAUGGCAACACAUUUUGCCUGAUGUGGACCAUAAGUGGGUGUCCAAGGCAUUGUUCAGGUGGCCGGGGAAUGGGAUUCCAGAGAUGGACUUUGCCAGGGUUGACAAAAUGGGGUUGGGAUCGCCCUCCACCACCAUCUGCAGCUCAGUAGAGAUGGAGAGGUACUUUGCCCGUCCUCUGCUGCUCUGGAUGCCCAGGAAGCUCUGUGGAGCUGAUAGGUUUGGAGUACCUCUUUGAUCAGACUGGUUUGGUGCUGCAGGAUUACAAGGCUGCCAUUGAGGAACUGGAGACCGGUGAUCCUGAUGUCCAAGAGGAGGAUGAUGAGGGCUUUGUGGAGCUUGUGGAAGUUCAGGACCUGACAGUUCAGGACCUACCAAUAUCCAGUCCACAGCUUUAUCAGUCAGUCCCCUGUCCUCCACUCCUGUACGGGCUACUCCACCACCUGGGCCUCUGUACUCCACACCUGUGCUCACCAGUCCCCUGUCUUACGUUCCUGUUCGGGCUAACGUUGCUCCUUAGUCCAUGGAUAAUGUAUUGUGCAUUUUGGAGUCACUUAUUGUAAAUAAGAAUAGAAUAUGUUUCUAAACACUUCUACAUGAAUGUGGAUGUUACCAGGAUUACGGAUAGUCCUGAUGAAUUGUGAAUAAUGAGUGAGAAAGUUAUAGACGUACAAAUAUCUCCAAGACAUGCUGUAUGACAAGGGCUAUGUUGAGAGGUAGCUUGAAAGUAAGCAUUUCAUUGCACUGUUUACACCCCGCUGUAUAUAGGAUGAAUAAGAUUUGAUUUAAUUAGAUUUUUGACAGUAAGGAUGCUUGCCAUUUCAGGAGACAUAGUUCUAAAAGAGAGUACACCAGGGCUAUAUCUGCAGAUACAUUCAUCCAGGAGGGCUGUACUGCGCAGAGUUGGCAACCCAGCAACAAGGCACACUUGCUGGGUCAACAUGAGAUGCAGUUCAGCCUUUAGAGGAAGCAGACCUUCAAGUAGGUUGUUGAAAAUGCUCUGUGGUAUGCUGGGUAUUUGGUGGCAUUGAUGAAGAGUGAUGCAGAAAAACAUGCUGCCAAUCAGAUUACUUUGUAGGAGUCCCACCAUCCAGCAUCCAUUCCACACCUCUAACCGCACCAGUCCUCCGCUCCUGUACGGACUACUCCACCACCGGCUGGGCCUCUGUCCGUGGCCUCCACACCUGUGCUCGGCUGACACUCAGUCAGCUCCGUCUUCUGUUCCUUACGGGCUGGGCCUCAGUCAGCUCCGUCUUCUGUUCCUUACGGGCUGGGCCUCGGUCUUCUGUUCCUUACAGGCUGGGCCUCCGUCAGCUCCGUCUUCUGUUCCUUACGGGGGGCUGGGCCUCCGUCUUCUGUUCCUUACAGGCUGGGCAUUCUGAUGGAGCCAGGGAUCAAUCCUUCUUCCUUAUCAGUUAAUUAUAAUUUUUUGUGUUGAAUUUUUUGUCCCUCUGUGGUGUCAAAAGUAUUCUCCUCUUAGCUGAAUUCUCUAAUUACAUUUUAAUCAAUUAAUGUCAGUCUUUGAAUGCUCCAUUCUAUAAACUAUUUAAUGUUCCUGCUUGUGUGCCUUGAUUUAAAACAGUAUAUUUGUCAUUCUCACAUCUUCCUCCAAUUCCGUGUCUUCAAUUGCUUGCUUGAUUUACAAUUAAAACAAUUUCGGCAACA